GACGAACGCUGGCGGCGUGCCUAACACAUGCAAGUCAACUUGACUGAAGGAGCAAUCUGACAGUAGAGUGGCGCAAGGGUGCGUAACGCGUAAGUAACUUGCCCAAGGUAAGGAAUAACGUCGAGAAAUCGGCGCUAAUACCUCAUAAUGCAGCGGAUCCGCAUGGAUAUGUUGUUAAAGGUUUACCGCCUUGGGAUAGGCUUGUGUCUGAUUAGCUAGUUGGUGUGGUAACGGCACACCAAGGCUACGAUCAGUAACUGGUCUGAGAGGAUGAUCAGUCACACUGGAACUGAGACACGGUCCAGACUCCUACGGGAGGCAGCAGUGAGGAAUAUUGGGCAAUGCUCGAAAGAGUGACCCAGCAACGCCGCGUGGAGGAUGAAGGUAUUCUAUAUCGUAAACUCCUGUGAGAGCAGACGAAAGACAGAUUAUUAAUCUGGAUGACUGUAUGACUC
rnacentral:rRNA from 1 species